rnacentral:rRNA from 1 species
UACGUAGGGGGCAAGCGUUGUCCGGAUUUAUUGGGCGUAAAGAGCGUGUAGGCGGCUUGGUAGGUCCGCUGUGAAAACUCGAGGCUCAACCUCGAGAUGUCGGCGGAAACCACUUGGCUAGAGUCCGGAAGAGGAGAGUGGAAUUCCUGGUGUAGCGGUGAAAUGCGCAGAUAUCAGGAAGAACACCCGUGGCGAAGGCGGCUCUCUGGGACGGUACUGACGCUGGGACGCGAAAGCGUGGGGAGCGAACAGG